rnacentral:rRNA from 1 species
UACGUAGGCAGCAAGCGUUGUUCGGAGUUACUGGGCGUAAAGGGUGUGUAGGCGGUUGUUUAAGGUUGGGGUGAAAUCUCCCGGCUCAACUGGGAGGGUGCGCCGAAUACUGAAUGACUUCGAGUACGGGAGAGGAGAGUGGAAUUCCUGGUGUAGCGGUGAAAUGCGUAGAUAUCAGGAGGAACACCGGUGGUGUAGACGGCUUUCUGGACCGUAACUGACGCUGAGACACGAAAGCGUGGGUAGCAAACAGG